rnacentral:snRNA from 1 species
GGAUGUGAGGGCGAUCUGGCUGCGACAUCUGUCACCCCAUUGAUCGCCAGGGUUGAUUCGGCUGAUCUGGCUGGCUAGGCGGGUGUCCCCUUCCUCCCUCACCGCUCCAUGAAGCUGCGCGCUCGGUCGAAGAGGACGGCCUUCCCCGAAUAGAGACGGACCGGUCUUCGUGGAGGGUAUACGAGUAGCUGCGCUCCCCUGCUAGAACCUCCAAACAAGCUCUCAAGAUAAGAGGGGUGCAAUUCCACACGAUUCCUACCACCAGAACU